AGCAUAUUAAUAAGGGGAGGAAAAGAAAAUAACAAUGAUUCCCCUAGUAACGGCGAGUGAAGCGGGAAGAGCUCAAAUUGAAAAUCGGCUACCCAAGCGGGUUGUCGAAUUGUAGCCUAGAGACACGUUGUCAGUGUGUGACCCAGGUAUAAGUCUUUUGAAACAAGGCAUCACAGAGGGUGAGAAUCCCGUCUUUGAUCUGGAGUUCGCCACGUACGACGCGUGUUCAUCGAGUCGAGUUGUUUGGGAUUGCAGCUCUAAAUGGCGGGUAAAUUUCCGCUAAAGCUAAAUAUUGACAUGACACCGAUAGCGAACAAGUACCGUGAGGGAAAGAUGAAAAGAACUUUGAAAAGAGAGUUAAAAAGUACUUGAAAUUGUUAAGAGGGAAGCGCUGGAAACCAGUCUAUAUGCGACUAUUUUGGUGCUGAUCGUGGGGUCUGUGGUAUGUGCUGUGGCCAAACCUGCACGUGUUACAGGUCUUACGGUUGGUACUUUCAGUUGUCGCAUUCGAGUCAGAAUCAAUUCGGUUCGUGUGAGAAGGCUGUGGGGAAGGUAGGGUAAGCAAUUACCUGAAGCCCUGUUGCUCUAACAUGGACUGGAUUGAGGAAGUAAUAACGCGCCUGCUGGCUUCAUCUAGUGGCUCCUGCUGGCUGAGUGAGGUUAGGAUAGCAAUGCUAUACGAUCUCACUUGGUUGGUACUGGGUUAUUAGAUGCUAUGCGUUAUCACGAUUCUGACGAAAUGGUUUUCAUCGACCCGU
rnacentral:rRNA from 1 species